rnacentral:sRNA from 1 species
UUGCAGAUAUAAAGACAACGUCCUCUGUGUUUCUACGGAACAGACACAGCAUGGCCAUCAGCAGUGCAGAUUUUCCCACACUGCCCUGUACCUCAGUUUUGACAUGGUGUGAUCCCCUCUAGGGAUGAGAUUAUCACUCCAUCUCCAUAUUGAUUCAGUCUUUUGCUGAA